rnacentral:rRNA from 1 species
UACGGAGGGUGCAAGCGUUAUCCGGAUUCACUGGGUUUAAAGGGUGCGUAGGCGGGCAGGUAAGUCCGUGGUGAAAUCUCUGAGCUUAACUCAGAAACUGCCAUGGAUACUAUUUGUCUUGAAUAUUGUGGAGGUAAGCGGAAUAUGUCAUGUAGCGGUGAAAUGCUUAGAUAUGACAUAGAACACCAAUUGCGAAGGCAGCUUACUACACAGUUAUUGACGCUGAGGCCCGAAAGCGUGGGGAUCAAACAGG